GCUUACGGCCAUGACACCCUGAGCAAGCCCGAUCUCGUCUGAUCUCGAAAGCUAAGCAGAGUCGUGCCUGGUUAGUACUUGGAUGGGAGACCGCCUGGGAAUACCAGGUGCUGUAAGCU
rnacentral:rRNA from 1 species